rnacentral:misc_RNA from 1 species
GAAAUGGGUAGCAUUUUGUGGUGGAGUUAGAGGGCAGGUCUAACAGAUGCAAGCAUUGUGGUACCCACUCGGCCUUUCCUGUUGAUCUGGUCUCAAGGGCAAACCCCCUUAACUCUUCUCAAUUGCUUUUUCCUUUACAUUAUUGUGAUUUUUAAUCCUUUAGCAGUUGGGAUAAGGAAGACAUGCUAUAUUUGUUACAAAUUCUGCAUCUUUGCAAGCAUCGGAGAAGCUUAAUAGAGCUGUAUAUAUUUUUGUGUGUUCAGAUAAAGAUUAUACGAUAGUUUGCAUUGGUUUCAGCUGGUAUUUCAA